UUGAACGCUGGCGGUAUGCUUAACACAUGCAAGUCGAACGGAAACGAUACUAGCUUGCUAGUAGGCGUCGAGUGGCGGACGGGUGAGUAACGCGUAGGAAUCUGCCUGAUAGUGGGGGAUAGCCCGAAGAAAUUCGGAUUAAUACCGCAUAAUCUAUUCGUAGUAAAGUGGGGGACUUUCGAGCCUCACGCUAUCAGAUGAGCCUGCGUAAGAUUAGCUUGUUGGUAGGGUAAAAGCCUACCAAGGCGACGAUCUUUAGCUGGUCUGAGAGGAUGAUCAGCCACAUCGGGACUGAGACACGGCCCGAACUCCUACGGGAGGCAGCAGUGGGGAAUAUUGGACAAUGGGGGCAACCCUGAUCCAGCAAUACCGCGUGUGUGAAGAAGGCCUGAGGGUUGUAAAGCACUUUCAAUUGUGAAGAAAAGUUAGCGGUUAAUAACCGUUAGCCUUGACGUUAACUUUAGAAGAAGCACCGGCUAACUCCGUGCCAGCAGCCGCGGUAAUACGGAGGGUGCAAGCGUUAAUCGGAAUUACUGGGCGUAAAGCGUGCGUAGGCGGUUUAUUAAGUCAGAUGUGAAAGCCCCGGGCUUUAACCUGGGAACUGCAUUUGAAACUGGUCAACUAGAGUAUGGUAGAGGAAAGUGGAAUUUCUGGUGUAGCGGUGAAAUGCGUAGAUAUCAGAAGGAACAUCAAUGGCGAAGGCAGCUUUCUGGACCAAUACUGACGCUGAGGUACGAAAGCGUGGGUAGCAAACAGGAUUAGAUACCCUGGUAGUCCACGCCGUAAACGAUGAUAACUAGCCGUUGGGGGGAUUUACCCUUUAGUGGCGAAGCUAACGCGUUAAGUUAUCCGCCUGGGGAGUACGGCCGCAAGGUUAAAACUCAAAGGAAUUGACGGGGACCCGCACAAGCGGUGGAGCAUGUGGUUUAAUUCGAUGCAACGCGAAGAACCUUACCUGGUCUUGACAUCCUGCGAACUUUCUAGAAAUAGAUUGGUGCCUUCGGGAACGCAGUGACAGGUGCUGCAUGGCUGUCGUCAGCUCGUGUCGUGAGAUGUUGGGUUAAGUCCCGUAACGAGCGCAACCCCUAUCCUUAUUUGCCAGCACAUCAUGGUGGGAACUAUAAGGAGACUGCCGGUGAUAAACCGGAGGAAGGCGGGGACGACGUCAAGUCAUCAUGGCCCUUACGACCAGGGCUACACACGUGCUACAAUGGGAAGGACAAAGAGCCGCGAAGCCGCGAGGUGUAGCUAAUCUCAUAAACCUUUUCGUAGUCCGGAUUGGAGUCUGCAACUCGACUCCAUGAAGUCGGAAUCGCUAGUAAUCGUAGAUCAGAAUGCUACGGUGAAUACGUUCCCGGGUCUUGUACACACC
rnacentral:rRNA from 1 species